ensembl:lncRNA
ACAGGAAGUGACCUCAGCUCUACCUGAAGCACGGGCCACAGAGGCGACGUCUGCAGACUCACACACUCCGGACCACACACACUCGGGUUUAUCCCAGCACGAACACACACCGCGUGCACAGGCACACACACUGGUGGAGCCGCUACAGGAGCAGUCCACAUCCAGCAUGGAGACUCAGAACGAGAGCAGCAGCGAUGAACACGGAACAACAUCAGCAGCUCUGGACCUCAACUCUGAGACACGCACACAGGAGGCAGUGUGUGAGGGAGUGUGUGAGGGAGUGUGUGAGGAACAGCAGCUCCAGCGAGAGGCCACCAUGAGCAGCCUCAUCAUCAUCCAGAGAAAAGCAGAGCAACGCUGGCAACGAGACCGAGACCGACAAAUCCUUAGACUUCAGGAGCGACUAUCAAUCGUUCAGAACAGGAAGUCAGACGAGGACCUGCUGGGACUGAGACGCGAGGAAACAUUCAGACAGCUGACCAACACACUGCAGCAGGAAGAUGAGCAGCAGCAGAAGGUGUUGGUCAGAGAGAAACUGCAGCAGCUGUGGAGAGAGCGUUCUUAUAUUCUACAGUCCAGAAGAGAGAGGAAUACGGCUGAAUUUAAGGAACUCCUCACACCUACAACUCAGUGUCCGACGAAUUCAGAAGAUGUGCUCAACACACGUACACACACACACAUCAACACCACACACACACACCUACCUGACAUUCCCUGACAGCGUUGUCCUGUUUGUGUUAAAGGUGCAGUCUGGUUAUUUAAAAGUUCUUCUAAACCUGUAAUAAUCAGCCACUUUUACAGAAACUGGAAUUCACAGCACUGACAUGCGUCGAAACAUCUCACACUUCUGUUCACGUUUUUCUGGUCCUGCAGUAAACUCUACACCUGCGGCCUGAAUAUAACCCGAGAUAAACUAGACAUAAACCUAAAAUCCUGAUCUUCCGUACAGAUGAUCAGGAAGUCAGUGGAUCGUUAAAGUUCCCUUCUAAUUAUUUGUGCUCCA